GAUGAACGCUGGCGGCGUGCCUAAUACAUGCAAGUCGAGCGAACAGACGAGGAGCUUGCUCCUCUGACGUUAGCGGCGGACGGGUGAGUAACACGUGGAUAACCUACCUAUAAGACUGGGAUAACUUCGGGAAACCGGAGCUAAUACCGGAUAAUAUAUUGAACCGCAUGGUUCAAUAGUGAAAGACGGUUUUCCUGUCACUUAUAGAUGAAUCCGCGCCGCAUUAGCUAGUUGGUAAGGUAACGGCUUACCAAGGCGACGAUGCGUAGCCGACCUGAGAGGGUGAUCGGCCACACUGGAACUGAGACACGGUCCAGACUCCUACGGGAGGCAGCAGUAGGGAAUCUUCCGCAAAGGGCGAAAGCCUGACGGAGCAACGCCGCGUGAGUGAUGAAGGUCUUCGGAUCGUAAAACUCUGUUAUUAGGGAAGAACAAAUGUGUAAGUAACUAUGCACGUCUUGACGGUACCUAAUCAGAAAGCCACGGCUAACUACGUG
rnacentral:rRNA from 1 species